rnacentral:rRNA from 1 species
AGUGAACGCUGGCGGUAGGCCUAACACAUGCAAGUCGAACGGCAGCACAGUAAGAGCUUGCUCUUACGGGUGGCGAGUGGCGGACGGGUGAGGAAUACAUCGGAAUCUACUUUUUCGUGGGGGAUAACGUAGGGAAACUUACGCUAAUACCGCAUACGACCUACGGGUGAAAGUAGGGGAUCUUCGGACCUUGCGCGAUUGAAUGAGCCGAUGUCGGAUUAGCUAGUUGGCGGGGUAAAGGCCCACCAAGGCGACGAUCCGUAGCUGGUCUGAGAGGAUGAUCAGCCACACUGGAACUGAGACACGGUCCAGACUCCUACGGGGGGCAGCAGUGGGGAAUAUUGGACAAUGGGCGCAAGCCUGAUCCAGCCAUACCGCGUGGGUGAAGAAGGCCUUCGGGUUGUAAAGCCCUUUUGUUGGGAAAGAAAAGCAGCAGGUUAAUACCCCACUGUUCUGACGGUACCCAAAGAAUAAGCACCGGCUAACUUCGUG